UGGGAAGGCUAUUUUAAAUCUAAGUGGUGCUAUGGAUCGCCUCGGUCGAAUCUUUCAUAAAGUUCGAAAGCCGGCUGAACGUGUAAAUUUCAGUCUCCAUUAAAGGAUUAGCGCUGGAUUUUGAUCCGGAAGUCGCAAUAAAGGCUAUGAAGCCGUAACCUCCAGUUCUCCGACCCCUUUGCUGAUGCAACUACAAGGUCGCAAUUUACUACAUCCAU